rnacentral:lncRNA from 1 species
CGCUGCCUGCAGAGCCAAAGGGCCUGUUUGUUUUUGCUGUUACUUAUCAGAAAGGUUUAUUUGCAAUUGUUUGAGGGGGGGGGGGAAACCCCUGUGUAGCCACAGGCAGACAAGCUCAGUGCUCAGGAACAUAAUGGCUGGAGCCCGCGGGCCCAUAUGCUCGCCAUCCUGGGAGGUGGAAGGCCAGCUCUGAUCACAUCCAGCUGCUCAGGAUACGACUGAUCAGGUCCUCACUACCAUGUUUUUGGGCAAGAUACUUUUAGAAGAACACCUCAACCAGAUCAUGCUCUCAAAGACCCGAGCCUUCACUGAUGGCAGGCAAUAAUUUUGCAUUUUGGAGUAUCUUCUUACUCUUAUGCAUGGCAACAUUUAACAGCACACCACCAUCUGCCACAGAAGCACAGACCACUAAUGGCAUCAUAAGAAUAACUUUGCCAGACCAUGGCUUGUGCAGCCUCCCCUGGAUCCACUCCUGGGUGAAUUCACAUCCCAUCAUCUCCUGGAUUUGGGCUGGGGAGAGGAAGG